UGGCGGACGGGUGGAGUAACGCGUGGGUAACCGUGCCUCAUACAGGGGGAGUAACAGCUGGAAACGGCUGCUAAUAACCGCAUAAGCGCACAGUACCGCAUGGUACGGUGUGAAAAGCUCCGGUGGUAUGGGAUGGACCCGCGUCUGAUUAGCCAGUUGGCGGGGUAACGGCCCACCAAAGCGACGAUCAGUAGCCGACCUGAGAGGGUGACCGGCCACAUUGGGACUGAGACACGGCCCAAACUCCUACGGGAGGCAGCAUG
rnacentral:rRNA from 1 species